CCUAUUCAAGAAGAGGAUGUAACUAUAAAAACAUAAAAUAAUUUAGGUAUAUGACAAAAAGAAGAAGAAGAAGAAGAAGAAGAAGAAGAAGGAGUAAGUUCUAUGGGGUACACCGCACAGAUAAAGACUAAUUUGAUAUGGGUCUGCCGAUAACAACGUAUUAACACACACAACUUCGAGCCUUCAACAGUUUAAUUUAGAUCCAAACACACUUAGGUAAAAGAUAUUGGAGGAGUCUUGCCAUUCCUAUAUCUACACUGCAUUAUUUAGCCACUGCAUCAGCAUGCUGCAGUAGCGGGCAAGCUCCCGGAAACAAUACCUUAAUCGUACGACUCAUCGACCGCCGCUCGGCACGAGCUGGCGAAGACAACUCGGAGUUACUCGAGCGGCCUGNNNN
rnacentral:lncRNA from 1 species